rnacentral:rRNA from 1 species
UACGUAGGGUGCAAGCGUUGUCCGGAAUUAUUGGGCGUAAAGAGCUCGUAGGCGGUCUGUCACGUCGGCUGUGAAAACCCGGGGCUCAACCCCGGGCCUGCAGUCGAUACGGGCAGACUAGAGUGCGGUAGGGGAGACUGGAAUUCCUGGUGUAGCGGUGAAAUGCGCAGAUAUCAGGAGGAACACCGGUGGCGAAGGCGGGUCUCUGGGCAACAACUGACGCUGAGGAGCGAAAGCCAGGGGAGCAAACGGG